rnacentral:lncRNA from 1 species
AAUCUCCUUGGGCGCUCUUCUUCAUUCAGCCAUUUAGGCCAGGCUAGGAACAUGUUUCCUGGGAGCUUGGCUUCCUUGCUUGUCGCUCUCUAUUUUCGUGGUAUAAAACUAUAAAUUAAAUAUGUUAAUGCAGGAGAUGAAUUUGUUAAGCGAUUUAUGCAACACCGAUGUCAUUCAGAUGCAUGGUCUGGUUGAUUGUGAAUUUUUGGUGACUCAUAUUAAGAGGUAAGAAAUGAAAUUUCUGUUUUCUCAGUAAACUAUUAGAAACUUUUUUCUGUUACUUUAAAUUUUUAUAUAUAGCCGGUCAUGAUAUUUUAUUAACUGGGUUUUAGUGUAUAUUGUAUAUAAAUAUAAAAGAAGUGGAUGGUUCCUAUUGGUUUCGGACAUGAAGAAAGGGCUGCAAGAAAAUAUAAUAAAACUUGAGAGAUCUUCACCAGACAGUAAUCUUUCUUAAUGUUUAAUAAUAUGUUCUUCUCUUUGUAUCAAUGUGCGCAAGAUGGUAGAUAUGAUCUUCAUUUAGUUUCAUGUCUUAAUUUGUAUUAACAUGUUUUGGUUAAUGUAAAGAGUGAUUCUAAGAUUGAGAGCUAAAGUCUCUCUCACCCCACAAACCAUUUACUUUUCAAAAGGAAAAAAAGAGCUUCUAUUCUGGUUAUAUCUGAGCACCUGUUUUUCAGGUGUUUAAUUUAGUUAACAACAUUAUGUAUAGCAAGUCGAGCAAAUAUAGAUAAAAGCCGACUAUGAAAACAACUACUCCCUCCGUUCCAAUUUAUGUUAUUUAUGUGAACCUGUUUGACUGAGUACGGAGUUUAAGAAAAAAAUGAAGACUUUUGGAAUUUGUGGUCCUAAACAAGUCCAAAUGGAGCCCAGAGUAUUUGUGUGGUUAUAAAAGCUUCUCAUUAAGGGUAAAGUUGUAACUUUAAGCUAAAUUGUUACCAAAUUUAGAAAGGGUUCAUUCUUUUUGGAACGGACCAAAAAAGAAAUAGGUUCACAUAAAUUGGAGUACUUAACUUCCAUAUUUGAAUUUGUGAUAGUCAUUAAAAAGAUAUAGGUAGAGUGUUUAUAUCCUUAUGGUGGACUAGAACUAAGAAAUUGAUAUAUUUUCAGCAACAACAAAUGGUAAUGCAUGUGCAUCGUAAAUCAAAUAUAUACAAAGAGUUGAACUGUUAGAUACUGAUAGCUGCAGCCUUAGGGGGUAAGUGCGUGACCUCCUAACUGGUUUGGCAGAUCUAGUAGGAGCAAUUGGUUCGAAGACCGAAUUUCUUGGAAGUUGCCAUCAUAUUCAAUAUUUGAGACAUUCACACACAGCUGCAGGCCUUCAACAUAAGACUGGAAAUUCCUUCUCUAUCAUCAAAGGUUUCAAACCAGAGAUCAAUAAUGAUACAACCUUUUGCUAGAACAAAGAUGCUGUAAAUGAGGCUCUGAGUUGGUUGUUGGAACGACACCACUUUUAUAUAUUGUUUAAUCAUAUAUUGUAAAGAAAAAGUCAUAUGACACAACCUUUUACAC